CAACGGGAGAGACCGCCCGCACGCACCACGGAGGCGGCGCCGAAGGAGUAACCCUCGGGUUCGAGGAGAAUCUCUCAGGCAAAAGGACCU
rnacentral:ncRNA from 1 species